AUGCACGCUGGCGGCGUGCCUAAUACCUGCAAGUCGAGCGAACAGACGAGGAGCUUGCUCCUUCGACGUUAGCGGCGGACGGGUGAGUAACACGUAGGUAACCUACCUAUAAGACUGGGAUAACUUCGGGAAACCGGAGCUAAUACCGGAUAAUAUUUCGAACCGCAUGGUUCGAUAGUGAAAGAUGGCUUUGCUAUCACUUAUAGAUGGACCUGCGCCGUAUUAGCUAGUUGGUAAGGUAACGGCUUACCAAGGCAACGAUACGUAGCCGACCUGAGAGGGUGAUCGGCCACACUGGAACUGAGACACGGUCCAGACUCCUACGGGAGGCAGCAGUAGGGAAUCUUCCGCAAUGGGCGAAAGCCUGACGGAGCAACGCCGCGUGAGUGAUGAAGGUCUUCGGAUCGUAAAACUCUGUUAUUAGGGAAGAACAAACGUGUAAGUAACUGUGCACGUCUUGACGGUACCUAAUCAGAAAGCCACGGCUAACUACGUG
rnacentral:rRNA from 1 species